rnacentral:rRNA from 1 species
GAUGAACGCUGACAGAAUGCUUAACACAUGCAAGUCGAUGGGGAAGUGGUGCUUGCACCAUGGCAACCAUGGCGGACGGGUGAGUAACGCGUAAGUGACUUACCUGCAGGACUGUGAUAACAGGGGGAAACUCCUGACAAGACCGGAUAAUGUCAUGGAGCUGCGUGGCUAUAUGAUGAAAGGAGACGCCUGCGGAGAGCCUUUCGUCCUAUUAGCGAGUUGGUGAGGUAAGGGGUCACCAAGGCGAAGAUAGGCAGCCGGCCUGAGAGGGUGGACGGCCACAAGGGGACUGAGAUACGGCCGUGACUACUACGGGAGGCAGCAGUGGAGAAUAUUGGAGAAUGGGGGCAACCCUGAUCCAGCAAUUCUGUGUGCACGAAGAAGGUUUUCGGAUUGAAAAGUGCUUUCAGCAGGGAAGAAGUAAGUGACGGUACCUGCAGAAGAAGCGACGGCUAACUACGUA